rnacentral:rRNA from 1 species
AUAUAGGGAUUUUCGGAUCUUGUUCAUCGGAUAGUAGUUACAUAACCAAUUGUGGAACUCUCUUGCUAAAGUUUUUAUUAAAAUAUUGUUCGUCUGUUUUUCUUAAAUGGAUGUUCAAUUUGCUUAAUAUUAAUUAUAACGAUUAUCAAUUAACAAUAAAUUCAGAACUGGCACGGACUUGGGGAAUCCGACUGUCUAAUUAAAACAAAGCAUUGUGAGGGCCCUAGCGGGUGUUGACACAAUGUGAUUUCUGCCCAGUGCUCUGAAUGUCAAAGUGAAGAAAUUCAAGUAAGCGCGGGUAAACGGCGGGAGUAACUAUGACUCUCUUAAGGUAGCCAAAUGCCUCGUCAUCUAAUUAGUGACGCGCAUGAAUGGAUUAACGAGAUUCCUACUGUCCCUAUUUACGAUCUAGCGAAACCACAGCCAAGGGAACGGGCUUGGAAUGAUUAGCGGGGAAAGAAGACCCUAUUGAGCUUGACUCUAAUCUGGCAGUGUAAGGAGACAUAAGAGGUGUAGCAUAAGUGGGAGAUUUUUAAGGAUUUAUUCUUAUUUAUCAACAGUGAAAUACCACUACUCUUAUUGUUUCCUUACUUACUUGAUUAAAUGGAACGUGUAUCAUUUCCUAGCUAUAUAAAGGACCUAUUUAAAUAAUAGGUCCCAUAGUAUUGGGUCUUGAUGCAAGUUUCUUGAACAAAAUAUCACGAGUUUGUUAUAUAAUUGUAAACACAUUUUUAGCAAAAAUAUCAUAUUCUUUUAGCUUCUUUGUAAGCCGAAUUAAUAUAUAUUUAUUAAAAUGUGGUAUAACUCCAACACUUAGGUAUGAUCCAAUUCAAGGACAUUGCCAGGUGGGGAGUUCGACUGGGGCGGUACAUCUCUCAAAUAAUAACGG